rnacentral:rRNA from 11 species
GAUAGGUGGUCAUAUGAAAUACCCCAAAGGCACCAUGCCCCAUCUGAUCUUGGAAUCUAAGCAGGAAAAGUUCUAGUUAGUACUUAGAUGGGACACCACCAAUGAAUACCAGUUGCAGCUAGCU